GGCGGCAUGGCCAAGUGGUAAGGCAGAGGACUGCAAAUCCUUUAUCCCCGGUUCGAAUCCGGGUGCCGCCUCCA
rnacentral:tRNA from 1 species